AGUGAACGCUUGCGGUAGGCCUAACACAUGCAAGUCGAACGGCAGCACAGUAAGAGCUUGCUCUUACGGGUGGCGAGUGGCGGACGGGUGAGGAAUACAUCGGAAUCUACUUUUUCGUGGGGGAUAACGUAGGGAAACUUACGCUAAUACCGCAUACGACCUACGGGUGAAAGCAGGGGAUCUUCGGACCUUGCGCGAUUGAAUGAGCCGAUGUCGGAUUAGCUAGUUGGCGGGGUAAAGGCCCACCAAGGCGACGAUCCGUAGCUGGUCUGAGAGGAUGAUCAGCCACACUGGAACUGAGACACGGUCCAGACUCCUACGGGAGGCAGCAGUGGGGAAUAUUGGACAAAGGGCGCAAGCCUGAUCCAGCCAUACCGCGUGGGUGAAGAAGGCCUUCGGGUUGUAAAGCCCUUUUGUUGGGAAAGAAAAGCAGCAGGUUAAUACCCCGCUGUUCUGACGGUACCCAAAGAAUAAGCACCGGCUAACUUCGUG
rnacentral:rRNA from 1 species